rnacentral:lncRNA from 1 species
CCUCAGUCAAGCGUUAGACUUCAGCUCAGGUCAUGAUCUCAGGGCUCCUGGCUUUGAGUCCCAAGUUGGGCUCUGUGCUGACAGCUCAGAGCCUGGAGCUUGCUUCAGAUUUUGUCUCUGCCUCUCUCUGUCCCUCCCCCGCUCACACUGUCUCUCUCUCUCUCUCAAAUAUAAAUAAAACAUUAAAAAAAAAAAAGUCAGAUGCUUAACCAAGUGAGCCACCCAGGCACCCCAAGUAAGCUUUCUUUGGUAGAGGAAAUUCCCCAAGUGGAACUCAGCUGUGAUCCUCAGCAAUCAACAUUUCAGUCAACUAGGAAUAUGGGCAUAUGCUCUCGAAAGAUGUACCACAGCAUUCAUCACGGUGCCUUAAAUCAACAUGAGUUUUCUGAUCUAUAAAAUGGAGCUAAUAAUCCAAUCAAAGGUCAUAGAUGAAAGCUGAGGUAAAAGGAAGUUGAUAGCUUGCCUACUAAUUUCUACACAAGGAGAUUCUUUUUCUAAAAUGCAUAACCUUCCUGUCACUCCUCUGUGUGGAGCUUCUUCACGUCAAAUUCCAUGAGGGAAUUCAGGUGUGUUGAUGCCACUGGUUUAUGGACCACAUUUACAACAGCAAAGGCACAGAGAAGAGGAAUAGGACUCAGACUGGACCUGGAGUUUCCUCCUGACCUUUGGGAGAGAGCUCUGCCUAGUGAAAGGAAGAAGCCUGACAAAUCUCCAUUCAAAUUCCAACUCUGCUCCCUUCUGGCAGAGUUAAUCAGACUGGCAAUUCGCCUUCUAUAAACUUGACUCCUCUCUGUAAAAAUGGAUAUAAUAAUAAUAGGUACUAUGCACUAUUUUGUUUGGAUAUUGUUUUGUUUUUUAAGGAUGAAAGGAGAUAAUAUACGUAAAACAACUGACAUAUGAAACUUUCAGGUAAUCUAGGUCCCUUC